ACAACCCCAUCACAAAAAGUGUGGUAUUGGCAGAAGUGGGUAGGGCUAGCAGUGCUGGCCCCACUCUGCUGGAAUGAAUAGGCCGGAAAUGUAGACCAUUGUCACAGACUUUCAGAGUAUUUUGAAAUGCUAAAUUAGUUUGUAGGCCUGGUUGGAAUCUAGGCCAUUCGACCCCUAUUCUGUGUAAAGCAGUAA
rnacentral:misc_RNA from 1 species